UCUCUGUAGUUAAGAGUCUGUUUCUCAGUUUGUCUCUCUCCCUCUUUUAUUUCCCUUGGUUCCUUUGUUUUGUUUCUUAAAUUACACAGGUGAGUGAAAUCAUAUGGUAUUUAUAUUUCUGUGAGUGACUUAUUCCAUUAACUUAGCUUUAUACUCUCUAGCUCCAUCCAUGUUGUGGCAAAUGGCAAAAUUUCAUUCUUUUUUAUGGUUGAAUAAUAUUCCAUUAUUUAUAUAAAAUAUGGUGUGUGUAUAUAUAUAUAUAUAUACACACACACAAACACAUAUAUAUAAAAUAUGCUAUAUAUAUAUACCACCUCUUCUUUACCUAUUUAUCUAUCAAUACAUACUUGGACUGCUUCCGUAAUUUGACUAUUAUAAAUAAUGCUGCUAUAAACAUAGGGAUGCAUGUAUCCCUUUGAAUUAGUGUUUUUGUAUUUGUGGGGGCAGAAGCGGGGUGGAGUAGAUACCUGGUAAUUUGAUUACUGGAUCAAUUACUAGAUCUAGUACAAUAACCGCUAACAUUUGUUAAGCCCUUAUGUUGUGUCAGGUUCUGUCCUCACAAUUCACAAUGAUGACACCAUAUGCCCAUUUUAUAGUAGAAACUGUGGCACAGAAAGGCCACAGUUUGUUACUUAAGGCCACAAAAGUAGGCAGCAAUAGAGCUAGAAUUUGAACUCUGGCUCUUUACCUCUACACCAUACUAUCACUCUAUACCAGAGUGAGAACUUUUUCAUUGCUUAGCUUCAUCAUGAUUUGAAGGUGAAAGCGGGUAUAUUUCUAAAGUUGGUCACACAAAGGAAAGCCUGACCAUUAUAUUCUAUUUGUGACUCAUUCUCUGUCCUAAACUGUGCCUUUUCUUACAGAUAAUAAGAAAGUUUUUCAGAAUAGAUUGCUAUCAGCUUUGAAGUCAUUCAAAGGAGGAAAGAUCGAUGUCAAUAACCUGAACACACUUCUGGGGAACAUGGGGAUCAAGCUCAAAAAUAAAGAAUUUAAAAGUGUGGUACAAAAUCAACCUAUGGAUGCUGUUGGAAAUGUUUCUCUGAAAAAAGUGGUGAGUGAUGUGACAGCAGUUACAGAUUAUGGAAAUGUAUAUAAAAAUAGAUUGCUAGAUGAUGUGAAAUCUUUCAAAGGUCAGAAGGUUGAUGUCAGUAACCUGGAAGAUGCUUUAGAAAACAUGAAAAUCAAGUUCCCAGAUAAGAAACUUAAAGAUUUGUCACAAAAACUACCAACUGAUGCUGAUGGAAUGGUAAAGAAAAAUACAUUGCUUGAUUAUAUAAAAGCUUUUCCUGGUGGAAAGUGUCGCACCUCUAAAAUAGCAUCCUGGAAAACUUGGGUUAUGAGCUGGAGGGUGAGGAAGUUGAGGACCUGCAGAACCAACUGCCGACUGAUGCUGAUGGAAAGGUAUAUCACAGUCGAUUGCUACAUGGCUUAAAGACUUUCCAAGGUGGGAAAAUUUUAGAUAAUAAAAUAGAAUUCCUUCUGGAAAAUUUGAACUAUGAUCUUGAAGAGAAAGAAAUCCAAGAUCUACACAAUCAUCUGAAAAUUGACAGUGGUAAAAUUAAUGCCAGUGACACACAACUCUAUCUG